AUUGAACGCUGGCGGCAGGCCUAACACAUGCAAGUCGAACGAGUGGCGGACGGGUGAGUAAUGUCUGGGAAACUGCCCGAUGGAGGGGGAUAACUAAUGGAACCGGUAGCUAAUACCGCAUACCGUCGGCUGUGCCCAGAUGGGAUUAGCUACUAGGUGGGGUAACGGCUCACCUAGGCGACGAUCCCUAGCUGAUCUGAGAGGAUGACCAGCCACACUGGAACUGAGACACGGCCCAGACUCCUACGUGAGGCAGCAGUGGGGAAUAUUGCACAAUGGGCGCAAGCCUGAUGCAGCCAUGCCGCGUGAAUGAAGAAGGCCUUCGGGUUGUAAAGUACUUUCAGCGGGGAGGCGUUACCCUCAGAAGAAGCACCGGCUAACUCCGUGCCAGCAGCCGCGGUAAUAC
rnacentral:rRNA from 1 species